rnacentral:rRNA from 1 species
GACGAACGCUGGCGGCGUGCCUAAUACAUGCAAGUCGAGCGAAGUGGUCCUGGUGCUGGUACUAGAAAAACUAAGCGGCGAACGGGUGAGUAACACGUUAAGAACCUGCCUCAUAGACUGGGACAACUAUUGGAAACGAUAGCUAAUACCGGAUAACAGCAUUAUUUGCAUGGUUGAUGUUUAAAAGUUUGUUUUGCUAACACUAUGAGAUGGCUUUGCGGGGCAUUAGAUAGUUGGUGGGGUAAUGGCCUACCAAGGCGACGUUGCAUAGCCGACCUCAGAGGGGGAUCGGCCACACUGGGACUGAGACACGGCCCAGACUCCUAGGGGAGGCAGCAGUAGGGAAUCUUCCGCAAUGGGCGGAAGCCUGACGGAGCAACGCCGCGUGAGUGAAGAAGGACUUCGUUUCGUAAAACUCUGUUGUUAGUGAAGAAUGAUUGUAUAGUAACUAUACACAGUAGAGACGGUACCUAACCAGGAAGCCACGGCUAACUACGUG